rnacentral:tRNA from 2 species
GCGAGGGUAGCUCAAUUGGUAGAGCAUCAGCCUUCCAAGCUGAGGGUCGCGGGUUCGAGACCCGUUCCUCGCUCCA